AGAAAGUUAGAUCAUAAGUUCUAAGGUGAGAGCAAUGACAACCAUAUAUAUCAUAUUAGUUCCUUGUUACAGAACUUUUUUAUAUUUUUCUGUUUUAGUAACUGGAAUUCCCUGGUAGCUCAGCUGGUAAAGAAUCCUGCCACAAUGCAGAAGACCCUGGUUUGAUUCCUGGGUCAGGAAGAUCCACUGGAGAAAGGACAAGCUACCAACUCCAGUGUUCUAGGUGUCCUAGAUUUAAAGAAGGAAGAUCAGAGGGAUGAUCGUCUGGAGGUGAUCACUGAUGAUGACAAAGAGGCUGAGGAAGCAGGGGAUGGCAGAGAUGGCUUCCAUGAAUGGUGAAUCCAUUGCUGUUUGGAGGAGUGAAGUGGUAUAAUUUUUUUUAAAGGUAUUUAAACUAAUAACCCUGUUUUUUUUAUUUACCACAAGUAUUUUUAAAAAACUCCACCAUGGUCAAACUGAUGUCUCUAUAGAGGAAAGGGCCUGACAAAGUGAGGCAAGAUUGUAUUGAAAAAUAUUUCUUUCAUUUGCAGAAAAACUUGCCAUAUAUGUAUUUUUUUUUUCUAUGAGGUCAUAUUUUUCUCCGGUUUUAAGCCUCACAUAUAAAGAGUCAACCCACAUACCUAUGCCAUUGAGAAAGAAAAAGGACAAUGAGAAACAUGGAGAAACCUUGAGAAAGAAAAAUCAUUAGAUUUACUGAUAGACAUUAAAGACCAGUACAUUAAGAAUUACUCACUUCAAAAACCACUACAAUAUUGUAAAGUAAUUAGCCUCCAAUUAAAUAAAUUAAUUAAAGAAAAUUACUCACUUAAAUUGUUCAGUAAGUAACAAAAGGGGCCAAAGUGCUUGGUUAAAAAAAAAGAUGAUUAUUCCAAACAGCAAACCCAUUUGUGUUCAAGCAAAUAGCUGCUCCUUUUUCAUUUCAUAGACUUCCCUGAUAGCUCAGUUGGUGAAGAAUCUGCCUGCAAUGCUGGAGACCCCAGUUCAAUUCCUGGGUCAGGAGAUCUGCUGGAGAUGGGAUAGGCUACCCAGUUUCCAUUUGGCUCCCCAGGAACCAUCAGUGGAACAAGUUACUGGGAAUGUGUUGAGUCUCCUUAACUGGGGAGAGGACCCAAGGAUGUUACCAUUCAUGUUGAAGAGUGUUACCCCCGUGGAGAGCACAGACCUUAGAAGAGAUAAGAGCUCCGAAGAGCCGACAGAAAGUCCUUGUCGCAAACGUGAGAAGGAAAAUCAGAACAAGUGGAAUAUUCUAGAUUGUAAAGAAGGUAACACUUCAGUGACCUCGAGAGAGCACCUUUUGGAGCAUGGAUUAGGAUGGUAUGAGGUCAGGAUUGACUGGACAAAGAUGGAUGAGCAAUGAUUAUCUGUAAAGUCUUACCAAUUAGGCCUGCAAAGGAAACAAAUACAGGUGUGGUCCAACUGGAGGAGUAAGAAAACACGGAUGGCAUUUGAAAAGACCCUGAUGCUGGGAAGGAUUGAAGGCAGGAGGAGAAGGGGACGACAGAGGAUGAGAUGGCUGGAUGGCAUCACCGACUCCAUGGACAAGAAUUUGGGUGAAAUCUGGGAGUUGGUGAUGGACAGGGAGGCCUGGCGUCGCAAAGAGUCGGACACGACUGAGCGACUGAACUGAACUGAACUGAUGGCAUAGGAAAGCAUGUUCCACAUUUUGUCAGUGCUGUCUCUGUUAGUAAUUAUAUUACAGUCCAUUUGCAAUACAUGUAUUUUUAAAUUCAGAAGAGUGAAUGAACUCUUUAAUACCAGACUGCAAACUCUUCAGUACUGUUUGGCCCCUAGAUAAAUACAGAACUUGAAAGUAAGGGUUUAGAAAAUCUUAUAGAUAUUUAACAGAGUAAUUUUAUGGUUACUGAUUCUAAUAAUAAAACAAGGGGUUGUGUUUUGUAUGUCUUUUUUUUUUUAAUUUCAUUUUUCUAGUAGUUCAACUCACUUUAUUUAACACAGUAUCGAUUCUGCAACAGGAUUAAAAAAAACUAAACUCAAUUCUUUACCAUAAAUUGUUGAGAAAUCUAAGUUAGAUUCCAAUGAAAUAGUUGCACAUUGGAUAAAGCAGGGGGUCAGCAAACUACAAACUGCAAGUCUGAUCCAUGGGGUCUAGGAUUUUGGGGGAUGCCCACAAACAAAAUCUCUUUUUACAUGUGGAUGUUUACAGCUAAUUUGAUAAUCAGAAAUACUAACCUUAAAUGCCAACUAAGCAAAAUGUUAUUAUCCUCCCCCCAAAAUUCCCUUCUUCUCAUUGGUAGAUUUAUAUUAUUAAAAAAUAUAUACUUGAUUUUUAUUAAAUUUCUGAAUUUCAGCAACACAAAUUUGUGAAAAUUUUCUCCCUUAUUAUAUAUGUACAUAAACGAUGCCUUGAUUUUUUUUUUUUUUUUCCCUUGGCUGGCUCAGAAUUCCUAAAAUAUUUAAAAUCUGAUCCUUUGAAGGAAGUGUCCGCCACUGAGAUAAAGAUGUUUUUCAACUCAUAAGAGUUCUUAACAAUAUAAAAAUUGUAUAUUCUUCAAACUCAUACAUACAUGUUUUACUUACAGACAUAGUAAUAUAAUUCAAAUUCAGAUUUUAUUGUAAAAAAUCCCAAGUUUUCUAAAUUUAAUGCAUUUUUCAUUAGGCAUUGUGUUUUCAUGUAUUUAUCUACACAUUUGUAUCAUUAUAAUAAUUCUUUUUUUAAAAAAUAGUGGAGACUAUCAAAUUAAACUAGAAGAUUCCCUUCAGUGUCUUUCUAAACACAAUCCUAGUCACUAGAAAAAAACUGAAACUUUUCUCUUUUCAGUUCUGCUGGUGGUUACUGCCAUAUUCCUAAACUACAUUCUUCUUUACAUUUUAUCAGUUUUAGAUAUUACUUCUUUUUUUUUAAGUGUAUAAAUGUAUCUUUUAUUAUUCAGUAGACAGUUUUUUUUCAGUCUGGGAUAUUGUAAAUCAUAUCUUCAAAAAGAGGGCUACAACAAUGUUCCCUUCCAUAUAAGAGGGGGAUUUCAGCUUAUUUACCACUACCUCCUCUCACCCUCUCUCUUUUUAAGAGAAAUUGUUAUUUUAGUUUUUCUAUUGAUUUCAUUAAAUACUUUUAAAUAAUCUAUAUAAAUGUUUAGUUUUUCUUUUCUUAGCAACUUUAGACAUCUCUUGAUGCCCCAACUUGUUAAAACAUCUGUUUUUCCCUACGUAUCUCAUUCUUAAUUCUUUUUCUCAUCCUCUGUCAGCUGUACCCUGACAUAGGCAAAACUGAGAAUAUUUGCAUUCAGAUCAGUGCAUAUAUUAAAUCUUUAUUUAGCUAGUUUUAAGAUCUGAAAUUAGAUAUAUGGCCUUUCCUUUCUCUCCAUAUCCCUGGUAUAGUAAUUGCUUCAAGGACAGGCUUAAAAUUGGAUUAGUCCACUAAGAUGCAAUUCCAGGACUUUACAGAAACAUUUUUCCCAAUAGUCACAGACCUCUCCUUCAAAAUCUUCUAUUAGAUGUUUAUAGAACCAUAUGGAUCUAGCCUUUAUUUCUCAUGAUUUUUGUCUCACAUUGUCACUUUGCCUUUUUAUUGUAUAUUCUGGGAAAUUUCCUGUACUUUUUUUUUCCAGCUAAUUAAUAAUGAUCUUUUGCUCAGGCAAUAAUUACCUGAAAACCUGAAAACCUUAGUCUUAAUUUCUAAGAACCAUUUCUUAUUCUCUGAAGGCUCUUUUCUCUUUUCUCUUCUUAUUUUAUAGUUUGCUUAUACAUGUUCUCAAAUUCCUUAAGGGAUUAGAAUUAUUUAAAGUUAUUUCCUUAUUUUUUUAAAGAAAGUUUUUUAUUAUGUUUAUUAUUUUUGUUUCCCCCUCAGGGUCAGUUUUCCUUGUUUGUAUUGCUGUUUAUCUUGCAUAGUUCUCGUGUAACACAAGUGUCUGGUGUCCUUGGAGUCUGGACUGUGGCCAUGUCUUUGUGGUGCCUUCUACCAUCUUCUUGAUUAAUGGGUCAGUGUAGGUAGGAUUUGCAGAGAUGAUGCAGAGGCUUUGUGAGACAAGGGAAGAUUGCCUUGUCUCUCCACAAAGUGAGUCCUCUUUUAAAGUAUCCACAGGUCAGAGGGCAUUUCUGAGACAAUGGGAGCAAAGAAAUACUUCAGUCUAAUGUCACAUGCACAGUGGGCUUCAUUUGGAUGCUUUCCAGCAAGAAGAUGAUGUCGGAAAAUAGGAAAGUGUAAUAAACAUCCUAAUUGCCUAAACAUAAUGCCAACUCAGACAGAUUGACUUUUUCCGUAGAUUUAUGACUUUGAUCAGAGUGGCAUGUGAGAUGCAAUGAAAUAGCUGGAAUCCACAGAUGAUCUCCAUAUACUGAUAGCAUUGGGACACUGACUACUCCAGAUACCCUAACCCAAACCUAAUAAGAAGGUCAGUAUACUCAGACUUUAAUACAACAUGACCCUUCUCAAUAAAAGAAAGAUGGGCCACUCCAGACACAAUGGCAUACUUUCCAGAAACCUUGAGUUUGCUACCCAUACUGUCCUGGACAUUGUUAUUGGGGAAGAUGUUGGAUGGAGACCAUUAGGAGCCUUCAUGUACCACCUUUUAUUAAUAUUUCCUCUUCUCAUGUAUAAAAUUUUUAGAAACAUUUCUCCAAGAUUCAGCUUGGCAGGGAUUUCAUGUGUUUAUUUAUGUCAGUAUACAUUUAAACAUUUCAGUGAUCAUGACAAAACCAUGCCAGUUUAGAAAUUUUGGCAAGACAGAAGGUCCAUAAUAGUUCCCCCAAAUUAUAUACAUUUAUAGGGUGUGUUUAAUCUUUCUUAAAUUAAUUUGACAAUUUCUACCUGUAUGCAAGUUUUUUAAUGUCUGUCAUGAUUUUGAUGUUACCUCUUAUUCUUCUCAGUCUGCAAUCAAGGCUACUACAGUAAAAUGUGCUAAAACCUGUUUUAGUUGUUGAGUAAACAUUACUCACCAAAUAUUAUACUGAAAGAACAAACUGGUUAAUUGUAUUACCAAUAAAGUACAUAAACAAGUAAAUAUAUUAAUGUUAUAUUUGUAACAACUAAGAAAUAGUCUAUAAAAAUAAUAACUAUAAAAGUCUAAUGACUGGCCUGAUUAAGGUAGCUA
rnacentral:lncRNA from 1 species